UACGAACUGCACAAACGUUAUCCGGAAUCAUUGGGUUUAAAGGGUCCGUAGGUGGACAAUUAAGUCAGAGGUGAAAUCCUGCAGCUCAACUGUAGAAUUGCCUUUGAUACUGGUUGUCUUGAAUCAAUGUGAAGUGGUUAGAAUAUGUAGUGUAGCGGUGAAAUGCAUAGAUAUUACAUAGAAUACCAAUUGCGAAGGCAGAUCACUAACAUUGCAUUGACACUGAUGGACGAAAGCGUGGGGAGCGAACAGG
rnacentral:misc_RNA from 1 species